UCAUAGAGGGUGAGAAUCCCGUAUUUGGUUAUUCUUUCUAGCUUUGUGAUACACUUUCAAAGAGUCGGAUUGUUUGGGAAUGCAGUCCAAAAUGGGUGGUAAAUUUCAUCUAAAGCUAAAUAUUGGCGAGAGACCGAUAGCGAACAAGUACCGUGAGGGAAAGAUGAAAAGAACUUUGAAAAGAGAGUUAAACAGUACGUGAAAUUGUCAAAAGGGAAGCGUUUGACACCAGUGUUGUUUUUCCGAAAAUCAAUUACGAAUGGCUUGAUUUUGUGUUGUAUUGACCUUAUCAGCUUUCUUCACUCUUUUUCGAGUCUUUCUUAAUGCACUUUUCGGUUAACAAGUCAACAUCAAUUUCUUUUGUUGUAAAAGGGUAUUUGGAAGGUGGCUUUCUUUUCGGAGAAAGUGUUUAUAGCCUUAUACCUCUACAAUCGGAGAGAUUGAGGUCUGCAGCGUAGAUCCUUCGGGGCUAGAUACACUUGUGCUAAGUUAUAGCUUUUCAUAGACAACUUGUUGACUAUGUUUAGUCAUGUAGCUUACCCGCUUGUGCUAUUUUACCUACGCUUAGGAUGUUGA
rnacentral:rRNA from 1 species